GCAUUGGUGGUUCAGUGGUAGAAUUCUUGCCUCCCACGCGGGAGACCCGGGUCCGAAUCCCGGCUAAUGCA
rnacentral:tRNA from 1 species